GAUUACUGCAUAAGAAGUCUUCGUCUCCUUUGGCACAAAAGAUACAUGCAGUAAAUAUUAUUAUUACUAUUUUAAAAUGCACGUUAGCAAUUAAUGACAUAAUAGUAACUUAAUGUAACGAAAUCGAAUAUUGCAAGAUGUCGGUACUAAAGCAAGAUCGUUGAAAUAUUUUUAUGAUAUAUGUAUUCCAAAUUUGUCGACAAGAUAUCCUUGCUGUACAUUUCAAACGUAUUGUUUUUAGAGAAUUUUAUUUGGUGUUGAAAUAUAAUCCAUAUUGAUC